UGAUCAAACCCCUUUAUUGACUUUUUGGAGAAUCCAAUAUUCAGUCUGCAAGCCGGUGAGAAUCUUUCUCAUCACGCUGCAAUUUCACAAAGGUCUUUGGGACAAUACGCGUUUAUAACCUUCAAGGAGGCUUUGCGCGCAGCCAGGCGGCGGCGCGUGCCACGGUGUGGCGUCGGUGGCGGCGCGCGCCUCGCGAACGGGGGCUCUGUCGUCAUUAACCCGCGAUCGAUCGCGUCAUCAGCGUUUCUGUGGGCGACGAUCGGAUCAGAAACGCGCGCGGCGGGGGAGGGCGGUGCGGGACGAGGCCCGCAGCUCUUACUGGACGCCCGCCGUCAAAUCACAGCCUGGAUUACCAUGUAUCCACGCGGCGCCAGAGGCCCAAACAACAUCGCGCUUCGCCUCGCGCUUGGCCGCUGCAGCACCACGGAGGCCAAAAGUGGAGGACAGCGAGUACAAAAGAGGCAACCGGAGACAAGGUGUCGAGGGGUCGAUGCCUCUGUAUGCGAACUGGUGCUGUGGAAGGUGGGCAGGUGUUGACGGGUGGUCUUCAGAUACAGGGAUGAGACUCGUGUUCAUGACACGCCUGUACAGAUUUAAAAGUUUUAUAUUUACCCCGUGUUUAUUGCUGUAGUGCCGGAGCACAGCUAGCAUACACAAAUAUACUUAGCAGCGCUUCUCUCCCCGCGGACACAUAUUGAGCAGAACCAAAACAAGUGGUGGUGCUGGUGAAAGCCCCGAGGCAGCGCCAGACAAACAAGGAGAGCGGCGUCUGCGGCAUACUGAGCGGGCCUUGGGCCUGGGCCCGGGCUCGCGUCUAAUUAUUAACAAUAAAUAUCUGAGGCGGUGUGAUGUGGUGGACGGCGCCGGAGCGAGCGCGACAGCGGGUCCUGGCAGCUGCAGCGCGGCCGCGGCCUGAGGAGGGCACUGUGGAGACGCGGACCGGAAGCGGAGCGCGUGGAUCCGAAGGAGGAUGCUGCUCAGCGGCACGGUUGAUCAGACUUUAUAAACAGGGGCCAUGGGAGUGACUUGCCGUGCACCUUUAUGACUCUGGGAACGCGGAAUGAAGGAUGUAGAGCGCAUGCACACGGAGGAGGGGUGUUAUUUGAACACCGACGUGUCGUCAGGCCUCAGCUUUACAGUCGGUGUUUAAUCAUCAUCAGUCCCGUUUCUGUCCGUGCUUAUAUUUGCUCUUUGAGCCAUAUUUUAAUAAAUAGACAAAUACAUAUGGUCAUAAUAACAUUACCAAAAGAGCAGAUCUAAUAGUGAUCCAAGACUUCAGCUCGUUCUUUCGCCCGUUUUGUUUUAAUUAUUUUGGAGACGAGCGGGAGAGUCUAUGGGAAUUAACACCUCAAUUAAAGCUGCUUAAAAACCCAUUUAUUUUUCUUAUUUCCAUGGAAUCUGGUACCUACUUUAUCACUGUCUGAUGAUAAAGAGGCUCAAAAAGAUGGCUAAUGCAUGCUCAGUACGUGUGCGUGUGAGGAAGAUUAAGAGGCGCGCUGAUUGAAUACUAAUUUCAUGGAGUGCAGGGCAGCAGCGGAGGGAAGAGAGGCUGACACUGGUUUCUGACGAGCGAUAUUUGAAGCAGAUUACAGACAAAUCAUAUUAAAAACUUAACUGGGUUACUGUUUA